rnacentral:rRNA from 1 species
GGGUUGUGAGGUUAAGCGACUAAGCGUACACGGUGGAUGCCCUGGCAGUCAGAGGCGAUGAAGGACGUGCUAAUCUGCGAUAAGCGUCGGUGAGGUGAUAUGAACCGUUAUAACCGGCGAUUUCCGAAUGGGGAAACCCAGUGUGUUUCGACACACUAUCAUUAACUGAAUCCAUAGGUUAAUGAGGCGAACCGGGGGAACUGAAACAUCUAAGUACCCCGAGGAAAAGAAAUCAACCGAGAUUCCCCAGUAGCGGCGAGCGAACGGGGAGGAGCCCAGAGCCUGAAUCAGUGUGUGUGUUAGUGGAAGCGUCUGGAAAGGCGCGCGAUACAGGGUGACAGCCCCGUACACAAAAAUGCACAUACUGUGAGCUCGAUGAGUAGGGCGGGACACGUGGUAUCCUGUCUGAAUAUGGGGGGACCAUCCUCCAAGGCUAAAUACUCCUGACUGACCGAUAGUGAACCAGUACCGUGAGGGAAAGGCGAAAAGAACCCCGGCGAGGGGAGUGAAAAAGAACCUGAAACCGUGUACGUACAAGCAGUGGGAGCCUCUUAAUGGGGUGACUGCGUACCUUUUGUAUAAUGGGUCAGCGACUUAUAUUCUGUAGCAAGGUUAACCGAAUAGGGGAGCCGAAGGGAAACCGAGUCUUAACUGGGCGUUAAGUUGCAGGGUAUAGACCCGAAACCCGGUGAUCUAGCCAUGGGCAGGUUGAAGGUUGGGUAACACUAACUGGAGGACCGAACCGACUAAUGUUGAAAAAUUAGCGGAUGACUUGUGGCUGGGGGUGAAAGGCCAAUCAAACCGGGAGAUAGCUGGUUCUCCCCGAAAGCUAUUUAGGUAGCGCCUCGUGAAUUCAUCUCCGGGGGUAGAGCACUGUUUCGGCAAGGGGGUCAUCCCGACUUACCAACCCGAUGCAAACUGCGAAUACCGGAGAAUGUUAUCACGGGAGACACACGGCGGGUGCUAACGUCCGUCGUGAAGAGGGAAACAACCCAGACCGCCAGCUAAGGUCCCAAAGUCAUGGUUAAGUGGGAAACGAUGUGGGAAGGCCCAGACAGCCAGGAUGUUGGCUUAGAAGCAGCCAUCAUUUAAAGAAAGCGUAAUAGCUCACUGGUCGAGUCGGCCUGCGCGGAAGAUGUAACGGGGCUAAACCAUGCACCGAAGCUGCGGCAGCGACACUAUGUGUUGUUGGGUAGGGGAGCGUUCUGUAAGCCUGUGAAGGUGUACUGUGAGGUAUGCUGGAGGUAUCAGAAGUGCGAAUGCUGACAUAAGUAACGAUAAAGCGGGUGAAAAGCCCGCUCGCCGGAAGACCAAGGGUUCCUGUCCAACGUUAAUCGGGGCAGGGUGAGUCGACCCCUAAGGCGAGGCCGAAAGGCGUAGUCGAUGGGAAACAGGUUAAUAUUCCUGUACUUGGUGUUACUGCGAAGGGGGGACGGAGAAGGCUAUGUUGGCCGGGCGACGGUUGUCCCGGUUUAAGCGUGUAGGCUGGUUUUCCAGGCAAAUCCGGAAAAUCAAGGCUGAGGCGUGAUGACGAGGCACUACGGUGCUGAAGCGACAAAUGCCCUGCUUCCAGGAAAAGCCUCUAAGCAUCAGGUAACAUCAAAUCGUACCCCAAACCGACACAGGUGGUCAGGUAGAGAAUACCAAGGCGCUUGAGAGAACUCGGGUGAAGGAACUAGGCAAAAUGGUGCCGUAACUUCGGGAGAAGGCACGCUGAUAUGUAGGUGAAGCGACUUGCUCGUGGAGCUGAAAUCAGUCGAAGAUACCAGCUGGCUGCAACUGUUUAUUAAAAACACAGCACUGUGCAAACACGAAAGUGGACGUAUACGGUGUGACGCCUGCCCGGUGCCGGAAGGUUAAUUGAUGGGGUUAGCGGUAACGCGAAGCUCUUGAUCGAAGCCCCGGUAAACGGCGGCCGUAACUAUAACGGUCCUAAGGUAGCGAAAUUCCUUGUCGGGUAAGUUCCGACCUGCACGAAUGGCGUAAUGAUGGCCAGGCUGUCUCCACCCGAGACUCAGUGAAAUUGAACUCGCUGUGAAGAUGCAGUGUACCCGCGGCAAGACGGAAAGACCCCGUGAACCUUUACUAUAGCUUGACACUGAACAUUGAGCCUUGAUGUGUAGGAUAGGUGGGAGGCUUUGAAGUGUGGACGCCAGUCUGCAUGGAGCCGACCUUGAAAUACCACCCUUUAAUGUUUGAUGUUCUAACGUGGGCCCCUUACCGGGGUUGCGGACAGUGUCUGGUGGGUAGUUUGACUGGGGCGGUCUCCUCCUAAAGAGUAACGGAGGAGCACGAAGGUUGGCUAAUCCUGGUCGGACAUCAGGAGGUUAGUGCAAUGGCAUAAGCCAGCUUGACUGCGAGCGUGACGGCGCGAGCAGGUGCGAAAGCAGGUCAUAGUGAUCCGGUGGUUCUGAAUGGAAGGGCCAUCGCUCAACGGAUAAAAGGUACUCCGGGGAUAACAGGCUGAUACCGCCCAAGAGUUCAUAUCGACGGCGGUGUUUGGCACCUCGAUGUCGGCUCAUCACAUCCUGGGGCUGAAGUAGGUCCCAAGGGUAUGGCUGUUCGCCAUUUAAAGUGGUACGCGAGCUGGGUUUAGAACGUCGUGAGACAGUUCGGUCCCUAUCUGCCGUGGGCGCUGGAGAACUGAGGGGGGCUGCUCCUAGUACGAGAGGACCGGAGUGGACGCAUCACUGGUGUUCGGGUUGUCAUGCCAAUGGCACUGCCCGGUAGCUAAAUGCGGAAGAGAUAAGUGCUGAAAGCAUCUAAGCACGAAACUUGCCCCGAGAUGAGUUCUCCCUGACUCCUUGAGAGUCCUGAAGGAACGUUGAAGACGACGACGUUGAUAGGCCGGGUGUGUAAGCGCAGCGAUGCGUUGAGCUAACCGGUACUAAUGAACCGUGAGGCUUAACCUUACAACGCCGAAG